rnacentral:lncRNA from 1 species
CUGAACUUUUCCAUUCAGUCAGCAUUAGGGUUUUAAACCCUAAACUGAACUUUUCCAUGCAGUCAACAUUAGGGUUUUAAACCCUAAACUGAACUUUUCCAUUCAGUCAACAUUAGGGUUUUAAACCCUAAACUGAACUUUUCCAUUCAGUCAGCAUUAGAGUUUUAAACCCUAAACUGAACUUUUCCAUUCAGUCAGCAUUAGGGUUUUAAACCCUAAACUGAAUUUUUCCUGUAGUCAGCAUUAGGGCCCCAACCCUAAACUGAACUUUUCCCUAGUUGG